GACAGAAGACUUUGGGUCUCAUGUUUGUACCGUGAGCAAGAGACAUGAGUUCUCUGACUGUAACAUUGAGCUAGCCAUGAAAACAGAUCCGAUCACUUCCUUUCCUACAAACAGGUGGGAUCGAACAGUGCUUCCUGAACGUCAUCUUGUUGUCCUUGCCUGCUCAGUGUUUGUCAGCACCUGGGGCUUAUGGUAGAAAUAAUAAAAUAUCUAUGAAUCUAGAAAUAUGUUAUUGAACAUAACAGAUUGAUAUGUCAUGUUUCAUAAAAAUGUUAUAUUUUAAAAUGGCAAAGAAUACAAGCUUUCUACAUGUAUGCAACAGACUCAUGGGUCUAAUACUUGUGUGAAUAAAACCUAACAGAUGAGUUAGUAUUAGCACUACAAUCAUGUUGUCUGGAUUCCUCAGAAUUCUUGCCCCUGUUUGGUUUUUGCUAAGUUCAUACAUACAAUAGUUUUACAGUGUACAUUAAUAAUAGGGAUAUUUUCCUCACAAAGAUAGUAAUAACAUAAAAUAGGGCUCCUGGGUUACUUUUAGGUGUAGGCAUUCCUGGUUAGAUUAGGGUUUAGGUGUUAUGGUUAGGUUAAAUGUAGGCACAUUAGUCAGGUUAUUC